rnacentral:misc_RNA from 1 species
GAUGAAGAACGCAGUGAAACGCGAUAAGUAAUGUGAAUUGCAGAAUCCAGUGAAUCAUCGAAUCUUUGAACGCACAUUGCGCCCGCCAGUAUUCUGGCGGGCAUGCCUGUUCGAGCGUCAUUUCAACCAUCAAGCCUCAGGCUUGUGUUGGAGCCCUGCGGCUGCCGCAGCCUCCCAAAACCAGUGGCGGGCUCGCUAUCACACCGAGUGCAGUAGUUUACUCUUCGCUCAGGGCGUGUGGCGGGUGCUAGCCGUGAAACCCCCAACUUCUCAAGGUUGACCUCGGAUCAGGUAGGAAUACCCGCUGAACUUAAGCAUAUCAAUAAGCGGAGGA